GACGAACCGUGCGAACGUUGUUCGGAAUCACUGGGCUUAAAAGGGCGCGUAGGCGGGCCGCCGCGUCCGGGGUGAAAUCCUCCCGCUCAACGGGAGAACGGCCUCGGAUCCGGGCGGUCUGGAGGGGGGUAGGGGCGAGGCGGAACGCGUGGGUGGAGCGGUGAAAUGCGUUGGAUAUCCAGCGGAACUCCGGUGGCGAAGGCGGCCUGCUGGACCCUCACUGACGCUGAGGCGCGAAAGCCAGGGGAGCGAACGGG
rnacentral:rRNA from 1 species